UGACUAAGCUUGCGUAUGCAGAAACCCCAUUUCCGGCUGUGCAGCAACAAGGCCACAGGGCCACCCAGCUCCUCUGACACUACAAAAGCCUGUCAGGUGGCAGGCAGAACAAGAGCCAUUUCACAAGGGAGAAGAGCCCCAAGGAUGCAGCCCAGACGGCUUGCUCUCUUGUGCACAGUCUUGGCCUUCAUCUGCUUUGGUUCUAGCAAUACUCAGAGCGUCUAUCAAGCUGCAAAUGUUAUGUCUGCACAAGUGGGAGAAUCUGUGACCUUGGACUGCAAAAUCACAGUCAGUUAUACUUACUACAAUAUGUACUGGUAUCGACAGCUUUCCAGUGGAGAGAUGACUCACAUCAUUCGACUAUAUUCUGCAAAUAGGAACUCAAGGGAAGGACGAUAUUCUGUGGUGUUUCAGAAACCAACCCUAACGCUCACCAUCUCAGCCUUGACACCUGGAGACUCAGCUGUCUAUUUCUGUGCUGUUGCACAAGCAUCCCACAGUGAGGCUAGUGAUGGGAAGAGCCUUACAAAAACCCCUAGGGCUCAGUACAAGCCAGCUGCUCCUCCAGGAGCAUGGAAGAGAACAACCCACAGGACAGGAAAAGGGUAGACAAAAGGCAUGGUG